rnacentral:rRNA from 1 species
UUCUUGGCGACCAUAGCAAAUAGGAACCACCCGACCCCAUCCCGAACUCGGUAGUGAAACUGUUCUGCGCCGAUGAUAGUGUGGAUACUCUCCAUGUGAAAGUAGGUUAUCGCCAAGAGC